rnacentral:rRNA from 1 species
UAGGGAAUCUUCGGCAAUGGGGGGAACCCUGACCGAGCAACGCCGCGUGAGUGAAGAAGGUUUUCGGAUCGUAAAGCUCUGUUGUUAAGGAAGAACGAGUGUGAGAAUGGAAAGUUCAUGCUGUGACGGUACUUAACCAGAAAGGGACGGCUAACUACGUGCCAGCAGCCGCGGUAAUACGUAGGUGGCAAGCGUUGUCCGGAUUUAUUGGGCGUAAAGCGAGCGCAGGCGGUCAAUUAAGUCUGAUGUGAAAGCCCCCGGCUCAACCGGGGAGGGUCAUUGGAAACUGGUUGACUUGAGUGCAGAAGAGGAGAGUGGAAUUCCAUGUGUAGCGGUGAAAUGCGUAGAUAUAUGGAGGAACACCAGUGGCGAAGGCGACUCUCUGGUCUGUAACUGACGCUGAGGCUCGAAAGCGUGGGUAGCAAACAGG